rnacentral:sRNA from 1 species
UCUGAGAAUCCAGCUCUCUCUCUAGGUACACAGAACUGUGGCACAGGGUCACCUCCCAUAACUAGUCUUUGUGUGUGGUAUGCUUCAGUAGAAAUCCAUAGAGGUUACGGGGCAGCAAGUGAUCUCCAGGCCAACUUUGGUGAAGACCAGGGUAUAGUUUUACAGUCCUCUAAAAGUAAGCACUGCAUACACUCAUUUAAGGAAAAUACAUAAAUGUAGUUAAAUUUUCACUUUUGGGCAUCCCCAUCAGGAAAGCUUCACAAUUUCCAGAAAAUAUCUUUCCAGUCUCUAGUGUUGACUGGGAAGUACAUGAACAGCUACAAAGUUGCAGGAGUUCCUUUGAAGUUACAAAUAAACUACAGUAUAUCACCACAGGAUUUGGUACAGAAGAAUUGUUCUAGUUUGCUUCAACUGGCAACUUAAUAAGGGCUAGAGUCUUGAUUGUGUGGUUGACCACAUCAGUGGGUUUUCUUGUUUUCAAAUAGAUACAGAACAGCCAAGGCUAUGUAAGAAAGCUACCUAAGAAUGUGCCCGUGGAUGAACCAGCAAGUAGGGUUCAUCCAGUGUUUCUACUUACAGCUCUUGCACUGUAAUCCUACAUAUAUAUAAGAUUGUGGAUUAGUAGCAUGAAAUAAGUUGCUUUUGUUAAUGAUGUUUGCCAGAGCUACAAAAAGAAUAUACAAAUAAAACCCCCUCUUCUAUGUUCAGUGUAAUGCUUGCUCAGCAUUUCCACACAGCUAUUUAUUUCACUUACUUUUUCAUGGUUCUCAACAUAGAUUUCGACUCACAGAAUCUGAGGCUUAAGAUUUGAUGCUGAAAGUUGACAUAAGAGAAAUGAUUCUGAAACUCCUCAUUUGGGUGAAUUUUAUUAUAGGUGACUUAAUUUGAAUACUUGUUUCCGCCCAUGUUUGCCAUAAUAUUCUUUACAGUACUACCAGUCAUCAUCAAGAGACUUGACAAUUGUUGACUUUCAUUAAAAGUUUGGUGACAGCGUUGCCAGAACAUAUUGCAGAGCAUUUCAUGCCCAAUAUCCUUUUUUUUUCUUUUCACUCCAUCCAUCCUCAGUAGUAAAGUAGCAUUACUAAGCAUACAGCCCUGUCACCAUAGAUGUCAUCAGGAUAUGCUUUAUCAACUAGUUUCAUAUUAUGUCCCAUACUAUGAAAUCUGUGAGUCAAAUGUACAUUUGUAUCUAUUGUUUUAUAAGCUGUGUAUCUUCAUGUACCUCCAAAAUGGCCUUGACCUCUUCAAAAUAACAAUGUGAAACUUUACUAGCAUGAGCCAUAUAAGAAGAAUAAGAAUUAAAAUUUUUCAUCAGGAAAUGCCCAAACUAUAUACAUAUUCAUGACACUAUAAUGAUAAUAUCUUAAUACCUAAAUAUGCCCAUCUUUUUGAAAAAAAUCACUGAAAUGGUAAGUAAUGAACACCCAUGGGUUGUAUCAAUGAUUGAAGAGUUAAGUCUACAAACACACUUGCCCUGCUAUAAUAUACGUAAAGACUAAAAUUGAUUAUUAUCAAUUUCUUUGUUUCAUUUUCAGAAUAUAUUUCAAUUUCCAAUCAAGAAAACAAGCAAGUCCUUUAUCCUUUUAAGCCAUUAACAUUUUUCCUGAUUGACAGAAAAAGGGUACGUGUGGGAACGAUCAUCCAUCCUAAUCUUGCUUUUAUGGGUUCAAGGUGUAGCAAUUGAAGGAAGAGCAGCAAUUAUUGAACUUCUAUACCCAACUUAAGCAACAUUCCCUCCCACUUGACCUUAAGACACUCACUCACUAUUCCUUUGUGGAUUAUGUCUAUAGUUCGUUUCCUUGAUACAUAGACUGUGAUUUUGGGCUCCCAGUUAAUGUGUCAGGCAUUGAAGAAUGUCUGUGGAAACAAAAUAACUUAAUAAAAAUAAUCCUUUAGUGCCAGAAUUAGUUCUCCGUUCUAUUUCAUAAAUAUUGUUGUUUUUUCUGUAGCUGUGAGAGAAGCCUAUUCUGCUCCUAUUUUAUUAAAUAAUAUACCAUUCACCAGCACUCCUUCACUUUGUUAUAAUCCUCAAAGCUUAACUUCCAAUGGAAUCAUUUUGCUUAUAGUUCUGUGCAUGACUUGAGAGAUGAUUCAUUCUUAACUUUGCCAACUGAGUAAUACAUUAGUUUAUAUGAAUCCUGCUUAGGGAGAGGAUUUUCUCUCUCUUUUCUUGGUAGAAAGGUGUGCAAGAAGCAGACCUAAUGACCAAAUGACAUCAUCAACAGCUGCAUGCUUUACAAGGACAGCCAUUCAGUAGAUCACAUAUGUGUUCAUCUGACCAAUGAGUAAAAGUAUAUCAGUAAUAGUAAACUACAAUGGCACUCCCAAGUAUUUGCCAACCUGUAUGUUUCAGGGAGAAAUGACAUUGGGGAAUGGGUUAUGUUGGUGUUUGGAUUUCCUCCGUUCUACUCACUCUCUGAAAGAAGUCGUGACCUCUUCAGGGUCACAGGCAGAAGCUUAAGGACACCUGGAGAAGUGGUACAGGACCAGAACCCAGGGACUAGGUGAGGGUUUCGAUCACCAGACUGAUCUGGUUCACUGAAGAAAGUGAGUCUGGUAGUGUCUUGCAUGCAGUUGGCAUAAUCAUGCUCAGCCUGUCCAAUCCACUCUAUUGUACUCGAAUUUGACUCUUUGUAUCUUGUGGUAGGGGAUGUGGUGAACCCUGUUUUAUUCCAUAAUCCUUUUCCUCAGGAUACAAAGAAUCAGAUUCACUUUCUUCAACUGGCUGUGUGCACACAAAUUCCCUGGCUCCAAAAUCCUGGUUCAGGAUUGCUGAGGUUGGCUUUCUCUGACCAUUCAUUAUCUUCUAGGGCCUGGGUGGAUUACUCCUGGGAAUGGGAUUUUUAUCUUCUGCCCUCCUUCCAAUCACAGAUAAUCAUGGAUGACUUGUGGCCAAAUCCUCUUUACUACUACCCUAAGGAAGACCACUCAUGAAGAGAGAAUUAGGACUGUGCCAGGUGAAUAGACAGGAUAAAAAGCAGAGCAUUUCUGACUGUAGACCAUUAAUGAAGAUGCUCAUCGUGUAAACUGGAAUUGACUGAGAUAAAUACUGGCAAAGGAUGAUGAUCUCUGCAUUCCUACCCAGGGGACUCACUUACCAUAGAACUCCCUUGCAAAUAUGGAAUUAUAGAGGAACAUGAACAGAGAAUGAUGGCCACCUGAAUCUCCCUGUCCUUGGUGACUAAAAAAGAGGUAACAAGACAAAAUUUGUGUAC